GCGUUUGCACCGGCGCGCGCGGCUCCCUAUAUCCAAUGUGUCGGGUUCGCCCGACUAUGGCGAUAAAUCGCGGCGUAGACUAGAUGCAGCGGACCCGGGGGCAGUACCCGGCGACUCCACCAUUUGCACCGCCGCCCACCUGCUUUCAGCGGGGAAGGGGCGGUUCAGCUGACGGGGUCGAACCAGGAUCGACGUGUAUUGAAAGGCGCCGUUUUUGCUCGGAAUGGGACCACCGCAACGGCCCAUUACACAAGUGCCAACGAUAACGAAGCACUCGCGAUUGCGGCGUAACUAAGGGCCUCACGGCCUAAGGUUACUCCAAGAUAGCGCGGUUGGACCGCACCGGGCAACAGAAGCGGAUUCCAGCGGUACGGGGAGCACCGGGCAACAGAAGCUCCCCACU
rfam:Sphingomonas sp. Leaf339 scaffold1.1, whole genome shotgun sequence.